rnacentral:lncRNA from 1 species
UAUUACAUUAGGCCUGGCGCCACAGUCCAUGAGUCCACCUGAUAGAAUUGGUACAGACGAAUGAACAUGAAAGUUAAAUAAUUGAUGUAUAGUAAGAAAAUGAUUCAUCUUAUUCACUGUCUUCUGUCUCCAAGUAGCAAGACUGUUAAAAGAGUGUAAGCUCUUGGGGUGUUGGAGAGGCUCUGAUAUCUUUUAGUUCCAUUUCCAAUGACCCCAAGACUAUUUUCCUCUUGUCUAGCUGCCUCUUAUAUAGUCAGUAUUAUUCAGUCCAACUAAAUUGCCCAUUGAUAGUCUGAUACUAACUAAAUCCAAUUGGGACUGCAAUUUAUAGUAUCAAUUUAUUUCAACCAGAAAUCUAGAAUAAUU